rnacentral:rRNA from 1 species
GGUUUGUCGCGUUGUUCGUGAAAUCUCACGGCUUAACUGUGAGCGUGCGGGCGAUACGGGCAGACUUGAGUACUGCAGGGGAGACUGGAAUUCCUGGUGUAGCGGUGGAAUGCGCAGAUAUCAGGAGGAACACCGGUGGCGAAGGCGGGUCUCUGGGCAGUAACUGACGCUGAGGAGCGAAAGCGUGGGGAGCGAACAGGAUUAGAUACCCUGGUAGUCCACGCCGUAAACGGUGGGUACUAGGUGUGGGUUUCCUUCCUUGGGAUCCGUGCCGUAGCUAACGCAUUAAGUACCCCGCCUGGGGAGUACGGCCGCAAGGCUAAAACUCAAAGAAAUUGACGGGGGCCCGCACAAGCGGCGGAGCAUGUGGAUUAAUUCGAUGCAACGCGAAGAACCUUACCUGGGUUUGACAUGCACAGGACGCCGGCAGAGAUGUCGGUUCCCUUGUGGCCUGUGUGCAGGUGGUGCAUGGCUGUCGUCAGCUCGUGUCGUGAGAUGUUGGGUUAAGUCCCGCAACGAGCGCAACCCUUGUCUCAUGUUGCCAGCGGGUAAUGCCGGGGACUCGUGAGAGACUGCCGGGGUCAACUCGGAGGAAGGUGGGGAUGACGUCAAGUCAUCAUGCCCCUUAUGUCCAGGGCUUCACACAUGCUACAAUGGCCGGUACAAAGGGCUGCGAUGCCGCGAGGUUAAGCGAAUCCUUUUAAAGCCGGUCUCAGUUCGGAUCGGGGUCUGCAACUCGACCCCGUGAAGUCGGAGUCGCUAGUAAUCGC